CAAGUCAUUCAAGGUGAUGCACCACUCUUUGACAAAACCUCCUGAUCCCAAUGGCAAAGCCAAUUCAGGCAAGACAGUGAGUCAUGUUAACUUUGACAAACCCUCCCGAUGCUAAAAAAAAUUCAGGCAAGACAGUAAGCAUUGUUAACUUUGACAAACACUCGCGACAGCAAAGGCAAUCAAGCAAGACAGUAAGCAUCGUUAACUUUGACAAACCCUCCCAAUGGCAAGGCCGUUUCAGGCAAGACAGUAAGCUAUGUUAACUUUGACAAACCCUCCCGAUGGCAAAGCCGUUUCAGGCAAGACAGUAAGCAUUGUUAUCUUUGACAAACCCUCCCGAUGGCAAAGCCUUUUUUUGCAAGACAGUAAGCCCCGUUAAUUUUUGGGGGGGGGAAAAAAAAAACGCAAAGGCAAUCAAGCAAGACAAUUAAUCGUUGGUUAACUUUUGACAAACCCUCCCGAUGGGAAGGCCGGUUUCAGGCAAGACAGUAAAGCAUUGAUAACUUUGACAAACCCUCCGGAAAGCAAGGCCAAAUCAGGCAAGACAGCAAGUCAUUUUAAGAGAGGCACAAACGUUAAAUGAGGACAAAAAAAGGAUCCCAUGAGACCCCAUGCCCACAUCGUUUUCCAUAUCCAAGAUACCAAGCAUCGCUUCAAUGGGCCACAACAUCAACGCAUGCGUAACGUUGUGGAUCAAAGAGACCGCUUCGUGGUUCAUCUGAUGCCACAAAAAAACACAAGACGAAAUCAACUAUAAUCAACCAUG
rnacentral:misc_RNA from 1 species